CUGCCACGCGCUGCUGGCGCGCGCCGCCGACCACUUCUACCCCGUGUUCCGGAACAACCACUACGCCGUGUUCCGGCUGCACGACUACAGUGUCAGGUACAUGCCUCGUAGCUUUGACACCUGACAGCCGGCCGGUAUCGACGAUCUGGCCACACACCAGUUAGAGUGAGACGUGUAUAUCAUUCUCUCUCAAGGACACAGUGAAUAAGUGCGAAUAUUUUUAAAGGACGAACUAUGAAAGUAAGAAAAGAUGGUAAUGUGGUCAAUGUUAAUACGAGUUAUUUUACAGAAUUGUAUUUUAUUUAGUUAAUACAAGUAAUAAUAUAUUUACAGUACAUAUGGGGCUACUUUAUAGCACUAGUGCGAGAAGUAGCAUAUUACGUUACUGUGUCGAACAUUUAAAGGGCCAUAUGUACUGUAAAACGUUGUACGAUACAUGUGCGAAUAGGUAAUUCGCUACUCGUGUCGAUUUAAAACACUCCCUUCGGUCGUGUUUUAAUUUAUCGCCACUCGUUUAGAAUUUCCUAUUUUUCGCACUUGUAUCGUAAUGUACUAUAUUAAAAUACAAAAAUUUCACAACAUGAAUAAUAAACUAAAUCUAACUACAAUUAAAAUAACUAAAGCUAAAAAUUAAAAAUACCUAUCAAAAUUUUGCGCCCUUGGUAGGGUGCCCAUCACGCAGGCAGCGUUCCCGCGCUGGAUUGCGAUUGCAAUUCUCUGCGCGAGAAAGCUGCCCGCGCGGGGGUCGCCCGUUGCCUCCCUCAGCCGCUUGCCCAGCGCCUUGUGGAGUAUCUGUGCCUAUGAAAGUUAUUCUUAAGUAUUAAAAUUUACCUUUAGAAACAGUAUUUGACUUAAAAUAUGCGUCUAAGAAUAUCGAACCUAAUUUUGACAGCUGACAGCGCGUAACAGCAUCACCAUUUGUGGUGACUGGAAUGUGAAACUUGAACUAUUGGCUAGACUUCCGGUUCGAGCGCCAUCUUGAUAGUCACGCGUCGUGAUUAAUUCCUUUGUUUUUUGCUCAGUAAUAUUGUUUAAAGUGUAAUAUCGAUAGCUUAUUAUACACUAAACUAAGUCUAAAAUGAAAAUGGUUAAUGUCUUAAUAGUUACUAUUAUGUUUGGGAGAGGACACUGACUUCUGUAACACAGGUUUUUACCUAGCUCAGAAGUCAGGGACUUCCACACUAAAAUGUACUUCCCUUAAUGCCAAUAAAAAAAUAUUUUAUCUAAAAAAAAAAAAAAAAAAGUAAUAAUAAUAAGCCCCCAGGGCAGCUUGUGGCGAGCUGAAUGGGAAGUGACGUCCCUUGGGUCCCAUGCCCCCGCGAGUCGGACAGGCGUUUAACCACCAUUUUGGAGUCUGGCCGGUAGUCCACGUGCUACUUGUAAUUUGUAAAAUCCAGCUAUCGUUUUACAAGCGUUAAUAAAAUCACCGCUCCAAACUGACUACUGUGCAGACGCUCUAAUUCCUUUAGCAACUAGUAAAGGGCCUUUGGGGCCCAUUUCUCGAACGAUAUUAGACUAUAUUUUUAGUCCACGAACUGGGCCCCAUCUCUCAAACGAUAUUAGUCUAAUAUUAUUAGUCCACGAACUGGGGCCCAUCUCUCAAACAAUAUUAGUCUAAUAUUAUUAGUUCACGAACUGGGCCCCAUCUCUCAAACGGUAUUAGACUAAUAUUAUUGGUCCACGAACUGGGCCCCAUCUCUCAAACGAUAUUAGUCUAAUAUUAUUAGUGUGUUGCCAUGGUAACCAAUACGAUUUGACAGUUCGUGGACUAAUAAUUUAGUCUAAUACCGUGUUCUUCUGGGUGCGGUAGCGAAUGCGAAAAGAGAUGUUGGGAGGCCAUUGCUUCGCUUUAAAGACUGCGCCAAGAGGGAUAUGGCAGCUUUUAAGAUCGACCACCUUAACUGGGAGAAGCUUGCGGAGAAGCGAACGGAGUGGCGCAAGUGCGUUGGAGAUGGUCGCAAGUUCUGCGACGAGGCCUGGUUCGCGGCACUGGCAGACAAAAGGGAAAAAAGGCACCGUAGCGAAACGUCACAGUCCGUCGCGAACUUCCCUUGCCAGCUCUGUGGCAAAGUAUGCCGCUCUCGCAUCGGUCUUUUCAGUCAUCAAAAAAGAUGUUUUGCGGACAUUGCACUAUAGAUCGUCUGAAAUAGACGCUAAAGCCAGUAUGUGUAUGUAAUACCGUACGAGAAAUAGGCCCCUGUCAAGUAGUGUGGGUUACCAUGGCAACACACUAAUAAUAUUAGACUAAUAUCGUUCGAGAAACGGGCCCCUGGGCGCGCUCCGACUCGGCCCGCUCGGUGGGAGUCGAGCUUUUAUCGGCAGUACAAUAUUUUACAUUUUGUACAAUAUUGUGUGUCAAAAUAUUACGUAAUAUUCUUUACAGUACAUAUGGUGCUUUACCGCACUAGUGCGAAAAUUAGCAUAUUACGUUACUAUGUCGAACAUUUAAAGGGCCAUAUGUACUGUAAAACGUUGUACGAUACAUGUGCGAAUAGGUAAUUCGCAACUGCCUUCGGUCGUAUUUUAAUUUAUCGCCACUCGUUUCGAAUUUCCUAUUUUUCGCACUUGUAUCGUAAUGUACUAUUAAUGUCUGAAUUAACUUAAUUCAGUCUUGUAAGGCCCCGUGCCAGAGAUGAACGAGUAUGCGGAAGUAAAGGAUGUGUUUGUUAAGAACCAAUGGAAUCACUGCACGCUGAGCGAGGGAAAAAAUUAAGUGAUUCUAUUGCACAUCUCGCUGCUCUCGGACAUCUCUCGUGGAAACGCAGCCGUAAGUUGUAUAAAAUAUGUGUAUAUAAAAAUGCAUUUAAGUAAGUUAAUUAAGAUUGAACAUUAAGAGGCUGUCAAUACCUAAAGCGCGCACACUGUCUAUUUCUAUCGGAGUAAAUGAGAUAGCACUGUCGCAUGUUACUGGGCCUGGGCGAGGGAAUAAUAAGAAAAAUAUUUAAAUAAAAAGUGGAUUAUUAGUGUAAUAUUUUACUCAACCACGGUUUAGAUAUAAAUGUUUUGAAAUUGUGAUUUUAAUUGCAGACCCAUAAGUCAAAACAAUAAAGACAUAGAACCGUUUGAUUGUGAUUUUAAGACAAAUCUUUGCAAUUAUUUUCUAUCGAGCCGAUUUCGUUCAAUCAUGUAUCGAGUACAACCACGGUCUUUGAAAUAUAAUUAAUAUGAACAUAUAUUUUUCUUACUUGACUAAAACAAAUAGUCUUUCUUAAAAAACUGUUUAAGUAACAUCAAUUUCAAGGACAUUGGGUGUUGACAGCCUCUUAAGUAUUAUAAUUACAUAUGUGACGCUUUCAACCAAAAGGUACCACGUUGUCCGUUGACGAUAAGAUUAAUUUAAAAUUGAAGCUAUGUAAAAAUAGCGCCUUAUUGGCAACCGACAAUACGUACCCUUUAGGUUGAAAAUGUCAAGCAUUAUUUUUGUAAACGGGAUACAUGCAGGAAAUUUUUUUGAAUAAAAUAUUUUUGCAGGUUAAGUAGAUGCCCUAAAAGAAUGCCUUGUGGCUUCAAGGAUACGUAAAAAUGUUUUUUCAGUUUAGGUUUAAGUAUAUUAACUGUAUUAUAAUAUACAAGGUGCCCGUGAGCAUUGCGAGAGGUUUUAACGGUGCAUUCCUGAUGGCAACAGAAGCAAAAAAUGUUAUAUGACUUUGUGAAAUUCGACAAAAAAAGUUUCUUUUUGUUUUUUCUCUCUUUUUUUUAACACUCCUGCACGUAAAACGUUAUUUUUAUUGAUAAACACAUAACCUAAAAUUAACUAAAACGUUUUUUUUUUUCGAUGUCAAUCAAUAGGUAUGUCCAGACUAGACCUCAAAGUGGCAAUACCGCAGUCAAAAAUGUGUUUUGUACAGACUUACGGCGAAAGAAUGAUUUCGAAAAACAUUUUAUUAUCUCUGAAACUAGGCCUAAUCCAGAAAAUUUUAUAUGACAUUUUAGUUUCUAAAUAUUACCAGGAAUGCUUAGUUAAAAUGUCUCGCAAUGCUCACGGGUACCUUGUACAUCUUUAAUUACAAUAUGUUACACGGUGCCCGGGAGCAUUGCGAGAGAUUUUAACAGUAUAUUCCUGAUCAUAUUGAAAGACUAAAAUGUCCUAUAUUUUUUUUUGGAAUUCGCUUAAUUUCAGAGUUAAAGCCACUUACAAAAAUAUACCAUAUUUUUAUUGUUACUUAGUGCAAAACGCCUUUUUGAAGGCGAUGUUGCCACUAUGGGAACUAGUCCAAAUAUCCUUGUUUUUCAAUUUCAAUUAUUUAUUUGUUUCGAAUCCAGGAAGAUCCAUAUAGUGUUAGUACAGUACAGAGAAUCUUAAAAAUAAAUUAUAAAUAAAUUAAAUUGGGGUUAGUGACAUAGAAUUUACAAAUAACUUAAAACACACACAGACAUGGCACAUUAAGACAACACAAAAAGUAUUAUAAUAAAAUAAAAUCUAGUGAUAGAUGUCAAAAACUGACUAGUAAUUAAUUUUGCAAAAAAAAGUUCAAAUUCUUUUUGAGUUACAGUUUUACAAAUAGCGUUAACAUUUUAUGUACAAAUACAUACAAAAAAUCAAAAAAAUAAUCAAAAAAAGUUUUUUUUUUUUUGUGAAGUCGACCGAACCUCAUAUAACAUUUUUUUCCUUCUAUUGGUCUCAUAAAUGCGUGGUUAAAAUCUCUCGGAUUCCUCGUUGGCAAUUGUAUAUGUCACCGUAAAAUUGUAAACUCUCGUCAGUUUCUAAUCUCGCUGGUUACAUUAUAAACUGACGGUAGUUAGAUUACAAACUAACCUAACCUACGUUAGAUUAAAAACUAACCUAACCUACGUUAGAUUAUAAACUAACGGGUGCACAAUCUUACGGUGUCAUAUACACCGUGUUUUUUUUUUGAUUUGCGUUAAUUUCGAGGGUGCAUUCCUGAGCUUAAAUUAAGUAACUUUCUCAAAGACAUUCUAAUUUCUUUAUUCUAAUUAACUCCAUUUCAGAGAUAAUCUAUCAUUAUUUUUUAUCUUAUAAGGCCCUUACGAGCGUGUACACUUGCCUUAGGGCCUGUUUACUUAUUGAUUAGUGUUUAGUGCGAGUUCAUACAUUUGCUACUAAACGUAGUACUAUCUCGGACGAUCGACGUUAUGACAUUGAUAUGUCACAGUUUUCAAUUGUUUGGUUGAGUAAAUGUAAUGCCCGUCUUACAACAACGCUAUAUGCAACAUUUAGUUACUUUUUAUAAAAUUAAAAUAGUAAAAAAAAAAAAAAUUUUUUUUUGAAAAUUAAUUAUGCCAUUUAGUUUCCUUAAACGUACUUACCCCGAAGUUAACGGAAUUCAAUAAAAACACGGUGUAUAAGAUAUACUGUGUAACCCAUUCGCGAUGUGAUUAUAGGUAGAUAGUAGUAGUUAAGUAAGUGAAGAAGGUUAUUUUUACUUAAAUUAAACGGUUGUUCAGUUUA